rnacentral:tRNA from 1 species
GCUGAUUUAGCAUAAGUUUAGUGUGUGGGAUUGUAGCUUCCGAGGUGAGUUAUUUUA